rnacentral:rRNA from 1 species
UACGUAGGGGGCGAGCGUUGUCCGGAAUCAUUGGGCGUAAAGGGCUCGUAGGCGGCCAACUAAGUCGGACGUGAAAUCCCCAGGCUCAACCUGGGAACUGCGUCCGAUACUGGAUGGCUUGAAUCCGGGAGAGGGAUGCAGAAUUCCAGGUGUAGCGGUGAAAUGCGUAGAUAUCUGGAGGAAUACCGGUGGCGAAGGCGGCAUCCUGGACCGGCAUUGACGCUGAGGAGCGAAAGCCAGGGGAGCAAACGGG